rnacentral:rRNA from 1 species
GACGAACGCUGGCGGCGUGCUUAACACAUGCAAGUCGAACGGAAAGGCCCUGCUUUUGUGGGGUGCUCGAGUGGCGAACGGGUGAGUAACACGUGAGUAACCUGCCCUUGACUUUGGGAUAACUUCAGGAAACUGGGGCUAAUACCGGAUAGGAGCUCCUGCUGCAUGGGGGGGGUUGGAAAGUGUCGGCGGUUGGGGAUGGACUCGCGGCUUAUCAGCUUGUUGGUGGGGUAGUGGCUUACCAAGGCUUUGACGGGUAGCCGGCCUGAGAGGGUGACCGGCCACAUUGGGACUGAGGGACGGCGCAGACUCCAACGGGAGGCAGCAGUCGGGAGUAUUGCACAGUGGGCGGAAGCCUGAUGCAGCAACGCCGCGUGCGGGAUGACGGCCUUCGGGUUGUAAACCGCUGUCGCCUGUGACGAAGCGUGAGUGACGGUAAUGGGUAAAGAAGCACCGGCUAACUACGUG